CAGUCGCCGCGGUAAUACGUAGGUGGCAAGCGUUGUCCGGAAUUAUUGGGCGUAAAGGGUGCGUAGGCGGUUCCGCAAGUCUUGUGUGAAAUCUAUGGGCUCAACCCAUAGUCUGCAUAGGAAACUGCGAGGCUUGAGGAUGGGAGAGGUGAGUGGAAUUUCCGGUGUAGCGGUGAAAUGCGUUGAUAUCGAACGGAACACCUGUGGCGAAAGCGGCUCACUGGACCAUUUCUGACGCUGAUGCACGAAAGCUAGGGGAGCAAACAGGAUUAGAUACCCCAGUAGUCCCUGUCUCUUAUAC
rnacentral:rRNA from 1 species